CACGUAGGGCGCAAGCGUUGUCCGGAAUUAUUGGGCGUAAAGAGCUCGUAGGCGGUCUGUUACGUCUGCUGUGAAAACCCAGGGCUUAACCCUGGGCUUGCAUGUGAUCGGGCAGGCUAGAGGUCGAGAGGGGGAGAAUGGAAUUCCCGUGGUAGCGGUGAAAUGCGCAGAUAUCAGGAGGAACACCGGUGGCGAAGGCGGGCUCUGGGCCGAUACUGACGCUGAGGAGCGAAAGCGUGGGGAGCGAACAGG
rnacentral:rRNA from 1 species